GCUCAAUAAUCCGUAGACGAGUGAGUGGCGAAAACUUCGGCGUUUCCGUUCUUCGAAAAGGAGUUUGUCUUAGGGCAAUGCCUUCUACUGGCGGUGGCGACGGCGACGUUAAUGGUGGUGCUUUCUCCGGCUUCAGUCUCACUGAGUCCUCGUUCUUGGCCUCCUUAAUGCCUAAGAAGGAAAUUGCUGCUGAUCGCUUCGUCGAGGCUAAUCCUGAGUUCGAUGGCCG
rnacentral:misc_RNA from 1 species